rnacentral:rRNA from 1 species
UACGGAGGGUGCAAGCGUUAUCCGGAUUUACUGGGUUUAAAGGGUGCGUAGGUGGGCAGGUAAGUCAGUGGUGAAAUCUUCAAGCUUAACUUGGAAACUGCCAUUGAUACUAUUUGUCUUGAAUUAUCUGGAGGUAAGCGGAAUAUGUCGUGUAGCGGUGAAAUGCUUAGAUAUGACAUAGAACACCCAUUGCGAAGGCAGCUUACUACGGAUAUAUUGACACUGAGGCACGAAAGCGUGGGGAUCAAACAGG